ensembl:lincRNA
ACAGAACUGUGGGUUUUGAAUGAGAAAACAUACAGGAAACAAUCUGCAUAAAGUUUUGCACAAAUAAUCACAGCAACUUGUUCAGAGGGCUGAGUGGUCCCUGCAUGUCUCAGCAGCAGACUGAAACUUCAAAUUCUUCCCAUCUUCUUGAAAUGUCACAGCAGAAUCUCAGAAGUACCCCCCCUCCUGGCGCCCCACUCCAGGCCACUGGGGUGAGGAGGGUUAGACACUGCACAGCACUUCAUGAGAAUCUUAAAGGACAUCUUGGAGGACUUGGUGCUCAAAGGGAUGCUCAUCCCCAAAAGAUGGAACCAUCUUCACUGGCAGCUUCUGCAAGAUGUAAAGGCCAGGGAAAUGUGUCCCUCCAACAGAGAGAAGAAACUUAUGUCUGAUACUCCAUGGACUAGCAACUGACAAUGGCGUCCUCACUCGUGGUGCCUGUUGUUUGUUGAUGUCUUUCAAUCAGCUGGGCAGCCCCCUCCUUACUGCUACCUAGCCUAGGUGACAUCCAAAGCUUUAUUCAGUUAUUUAGCAGGCAUUUGUGCAUUCCCUUCCAACGACAGGCACUGCAUGACCUUACCCUAGCUGACAGCUUCACAGACAUGCAUGCAGUGAUGGGAGUAGAAGGGAAGGGCUGAGAAUGCUGGCUUUGAGAUCAGGCAGACUCAGGGAGAAAUCCCAAUUCUGUUACCUACUAGCUUUGUGAUCUUAAGUUUGGCAUCUAUAAGAAGACAGUACUUGAUAGCAUGGUUGAAGGAACUAAAUGAAAUCAUAUACACAGGGACUGAG